rnacentral:lncRNA from 1 species
UGCAGUUGAGAUGUUAUCUUAUAAUCUAAUAUCUAACAAAAAGUCACCAGAAACAUGUUAAAAUUACAAUACAAAAGUUGAAUCAUCAUACAACUCACUAGAAACAAUAGAGAAAGUUGAUAUGAGGGGACCAUAAACUUCACUAAUAUGAACCCUUGUAGUCCCCUUGUUAGCCAGUAGAAUUGAAUCGAUGAAAUAUUUAGCAAUACCACUACCUAACACUUCUCGAUCUCCUACAUAGUAAAUAUUUUCAUCAUUUUCCAUCACCUAUACAUUCUUUCCACCACAAUUAACAUGAAAACAAUGUGAAU